GAUGAACGCUGGCGGCGUGCCUAAUACAUGCAAGUCGAGCGAACAGAUGAGGAGCUUGCUCCUCUGACGUUAGCGGCGGACGGGUGAGUAACACGUGGAUAACCUACCUAUAAGACUGGGAUAACUUCGGGAAACCGGAGCUAAUCCCGGAUAAUAUAUUGAACCGCAUGGUUCAAUAGUGAAAGACGGUUUUGCUGUCACUUAUAGAUGGAUCCGCGCCGCAUUAGGUAGUUGGUAAGGUAACGGCUUACCAAGGCAACGAUGCGUAGCCGACCUGAGAGGGUGAUCGGCCACACGGGAACUGAGACACGGUCCAGACUCCUACGGGAGGCAGCAGUAGGGAAUCUUCCGCAAUGGGCGAAAACCUGACGGAGCAACGCCGCGUGAGUGAUGAAGGUCUUCGGAUCGUAAAACUCUGUUAUUAGGGAAGAACAAAUGUGUAAGUAACUAUGCACGUCUUGACGGUACCUAAUCAGAAAGCCACGGCUAACUACGUG
rnacentral:rRNA from 1 species